rnacentral:rRNA from 1 species
GAUGAACGCUAGCGGCGUGCCUAAUACAUGCAAGUCGAACGAGGGCUUUGUUGUAGCAAUACGGCGAAGUCCGAGUGGCGAACGGGUGAGUAACACGUAGGCGACCUGCCCCGAAGAGGGGAGUAACCCGGGAACUGGAGCUAAUACCCCACUACCCUUGUUGGAGUUAGAGGUCUGGCAAGGAAAGGAGCAAUCCGCUUCGGGAGGGGCCGUCGCGGCCCAUCAGCUUGUUGGUAGGGUCACGGCCACCAAGGCGACGACGGGUAGGGGGCCGUGAGAGGGUGGUCCGCCUCACUGGGACUGAGACACUGCCCAGACUCCUACGGGAGGCUGCAGUCGCGAAUCAUUGGCAAUGCGCGCAAGCGUGACCAUGCGACGCC